UCUUUCUGUUAUAUCUAAAUCUGUGUGGAGUACAAGCUUUUUUCAAUGGUCUUAACUGUCAUCUUGGUCAUUGUGCCUGUCUAUGUAAACAUAUAUUGACAUAUGUAUUUCAUAAAAUAUAUGUUACCUACUGAUCUUUUUGUCUCAACUAUAUUUGAAUUUGUAGGAUGGCAAGUUACUUUCUUUGGAAGGCAAGCAGGUCCUUGCAAAUGCUGGUGUUAUGUACCUGUGUAAUUUUGUCAAUGGAGAAAGGGUGAAGAUUCCUGAGACACUACAGGAACAACUUAAAAUUGUGGGCAACUCUACACCUACUCUGAUGGGCCUUAAAGAACUUGCGGACUCCUUACCGGAAGUAAACAACAACAGAUUUAUUACAGAUGGUAUUACUCAAGAUGGUAUUGAUAAAUUGAGAGAGCCGCCUAGACCUCUGUUGAGGACGGCCUCUACCAAGUGAUGAUUAAGGGAAAUAUGUGAAAUUCUCGUUUUGUUAUUUCUUUAUAUCUUUUGGUGUGAUAUAUGGAGGCACAACACGUGAAAGGAGGGUGGGUGGUGAUUUUUUUUUUGUAAUGAAUGGCAAUCUUUCGGAUUGCUUUUCUGGGUUUGUUAUGAUAUGAAUUUGUCCUAAGCUAUUUUUUCACUGUGUUGGUAAUUGUAAUCGCAGAAAUUUGUACAUGCUGAAAUAAGUACACACCAGUGAAUGAAAGAAUACUGCAAUGUUAUGUUCUUUCUAUCAUUUCUUUGGAACAUGAUUGUACAUUCCUUAGUUAUUUUUGUACCUUACGAAGUUUUUUGUUUUAGGUUACUUGUGGAAUUUCACUAGUGUGUUGUUAUGCAAGAAAACAUCUC